GACUUAUGCAACGAUAACUGGAAGUAAUCAACUUAUUUCACAUAAAUAAACAUGGUUUGGAAUACACCCUUAGCCAAAACGAAUUUAGCCAAUCAUACUCAAUGAAAAACAAAGAUUACAAGAAGUAGACAUUGAAAUAAAAGAUAGAAUACACCUAAAAUUGUUCAACAACUCAGAUUGAAGAGCCAAACAAUUUUCAUGAACUGUCUCCUUCUCUUCUCCUUGCGGCAGAUUGGGGGAGGAUGAUUUCUGGGGGGUUUGUGUGAUGUAGAAUGGAUUAUGGAUGGUGUAGGGGCACGGUAAGGCUUGGGGGUAGUGUAUGGGUGUUGUGUGGAAGAUGUGGAGAUGAAGAAUGGUGGUGGAAAUCGGCAGAGAUGGAGGAGGAAUGGUUUCUGAGGUUGUGGAUGGGUUUUGACGAAUUUUGGGAGAGUGUGUGGCUGAAUGGAGUUGUUUGUGGCUGCACAAAACCUGUUUAUUUAAAGGGAUUAGGAAAUUAAAAACCCUAGGCUAAUUAGGUAAUCAGGAAUUAAGUUUAAAGCUUCU
rnacentral:lncRNA from 1 species